rnacentral:rRNA from 1 species
CUACGGGGGGCUGCAGUGGGGAAUAUUGCACAAUGGAGGAAACUCUGAUGCAGCAACGCCGCGUGGAGGAUGACACUUUUCGGAGCGUAAACUCCUUUUAUAUAGGAAGAAGAUGACGGUACUAUAUGAAUAAGCGCCGGCUAACUCCGUGCCAGCAGCCGCGGUAAUACGGAGGGCGCAAGCGUUACUCGGAAUCACUGGGCGUAAAGAGCGUGUAGGCGGAUUAAAAAGUCAGAAGUGAAAUCCUAUAGCUUAACUAUAGAACUGCUUCUGAAACUCUUAAUCUAGAAUAUGGGAGAGGUGGAUGGAAUUUCUGGUGUAGGGGUAAAAUCCGUAGAGAUCAGAAGGAAUACCGAUUGCGAAGGCGAUCUACUAGAACAUUAUUGACGCUGAGGCGCGAAAGCGUGGGGAGCAAACAGGAUUAGAUACCCGGGUAGUC